UUACGACUAUAUCACGUUGAAACACCAGUUCCCGUACGAUCGCCGAAGUUAAGCAACAACGAGCCUGGUCAUUACCAAGAUGGGUAACCGCUUGGAAAUACCAGUUGCUGUAAU